AGGGAUCAGCAGUUAUGACAAACAUUUGUUGAGUGUGUGCCAGGAACUGCUCCGAAUGCUGCAUAAACAUCGUGUUCAAGUUCGUUAAUUCCCUACAAGGCAGAGGCCUCCGUUUUCUGAGGAAACAGGGAUGCAGAGAAAGGAGGAAAUGGGCGCUCAGCUGUGAACAGCCCCCGAAAUAGUCCUGAGUCUGAAGCAAGCUUUUUCCCAAUCUGCAUUUUCAGGAUUGAAUGCCCGGAGGAAGCAGGUCAGAGUGACUUUGAACCAGGGAGACUGGUUUUCAAAGGUCUUUUUGAGCAAAGUUGUCAGUCUUUGACCUUUGGCGUUCCUAAAGAAAGAUCUAGAAAUGCUUCUGUUGACCAUGGACAGAACAAUCUCGCAGGGGACUUGGACCAUCUGUACUUUUGGGGAAAGUCAGAAAAGACAGUCCCUGUCAGUGGAUGGUCUGGGACAUCAGCCUUUGAGUCCAGGCACCCAGGUGGCCUCUGGUCUGCAUCAGGGAUGAGUUGCAGCCAGCUCCACGCCCAGUGAGAGAAUUAGGGGAAUCACAUUCUCUUUCUCAGUGACAGUUGGCCACAGACAUGUGGCCAGAAAGCACGCCUCACCUCAGUCAAAGAGCACAAACCCUGUCUUUCUUCCCCAAGUAAUGUGGAAGGGAAGGAGUCCCUGCCAGGUGCAGAAGAAAGAAGAAAGCCUGCUCUUGGCAGCAGGGGAAUCAGGUUGCCACAGCAACAAGCCUCUUCCCAAGUCCACUCAUUAUAUGGCUUUUGAAUUAGACUUCCUCUGUGUAUAUACACCAGCGGCUUUGAUUCCCCCACUCCACCCCCCAACCCCCGGCUUGCCACCAAACUUGCCUCCCAGGCUUCUCCCCAGGAAAGCACCACUGAAGGCAGCCGCUGACUGCUCCUUCAAGGUCAGGUCCUGCUUGUCCCUGGGAUGCAUAAUAUUUACUUGUUGGCUUACCCUAGGAAGAACCAAGCCCAAAGGGUACCCAGGCUAAAAGUCUGCAGUGGGGGGAGAGGCAGUGAGGAGGACUUGUUUGAACAGCGAUUUGGCCAGAUGUAAAUGCAGACCCUUUGAACGCAACCCUCUGGGACAUCCCCCCCUCCCCCCAGAAAUAGAGUUUCUCUGCAUAGACCUGGAACUCACUCGUACGUCAGGCUGACCUCAAACUCACACAGAUCCGCCUGCCUCUGCCUCCCGAAGGCUGGGAUUAGUGGUGUGUACCUCCACUGCCAGGUGAACCCUCUGGGAAUUUAAUCUUGGA